AACGAACGCUGGCGGCGUGCUUAACACAUGCAAGUCGAACGGUAAGGCCCUUCGGGGUACACGAGUGGCGAACGGGUGAGUAACACGUGGGUGAUCUGCCCUGCACUUCGGGAUAAGCCUGGGAAACUGGGUCUAAUACCGGAUAGGACCCUGGGAUGCAUGUCCUGGGGUGGAAAGCUUUUGCGGUGUGGGAUGGGCCGGCGGCCUAUCAGCUUGUUGGUGGGGUGAUGGCCUACCAAGGCGACGACGGGUAGCCGGCCUAAGAGGGUGACCGGACACACUUGGACUGAGAUACGGCCCAGACUCCUACGGGAGGCAGCAGUGGGGAAUAUUGCACAAUGGGCGCAAGCCUGAUGCAGCGACGCCGCGUGAGGGAUGACGGCCUUCGGGUUGUAAACCUCUUUCAGCACCGACGAAGCGCAAGUGACGGUAGGUGCAGAAGAAGGACCGGCCAACUACGUGCCAUCCGCCGCCGUAA
rnacentral:rRNA from 1 species